rnacentral:misc_RNA from 1 species
UUUCCGUUGGUGAACCAGCGGAGGGAUCAUUACCGAGUUUACAACUCCCAAACCCCUGUGAACUUAUACCUUUACUGUAGCUUCGGCGGUUCAUUGCCCCGAGGAAACAGGCGGCCGUCAAGUCCCUGCGCACCCGGAAAUAGGCGCGCGCCGGGGGACUCAAACUCUUCUGUAUUUUUUUGUUUACUGUAUACUGUCUGAGUAAAAAUUCAUAAUGAGUCAAAACUUUCAACAACGGAUCUCUUGGUUCUG